rnacentral:misc_RNA from 1 species
AAUCAUCAAUCUAACAUUGCUUUUGUGAUGCUGGAUUGGAUUUGGAGACUGCUGGUCUAACGAUUGGCUUCUCUUGAAUGCAUUAGUUGAAUCGAGUUGCAACGCUACGUGUGGUGUGAUAAUAUCUUCACUGCAUAGUUGUAAUGACGUUUGGCUUCUAACAGUCCUUCAUUGGACAAUACUUGACC